GCCUGUAUAGCUUGGUAGAGCCCAAGGCUCUUAACCUUGUGGUUGUGGGUUAAAGCCCCACGGUGGGUG
rnacentral:tRNA from 1 species